AACGAACGCUGGCGGCAUGCCUAACACAUGCAAGUCGAACGAGACCUUCGGGUCUAGUGGCGCACGGGUGCGUAACGCGUGGGAAUCUGCCCUUCGGUUCGGAACAACAGUUAGAAAUGACUGCUAAUACCGGAUAAUGACGUAAGUCCAAAGAUUUAUCGCCGAAGGAUGAGCCCGCGUAAGAUUAGGUAGUUGGUGGGGUAAUGGCCUACCAAGCCGACGAUCUUUAGCUGGUCUGAGAGGAUGAUCAGCCACACUGGGACUGAGACACGGCCCAGACUCCUACGGGAGGCAGCAGUGGGGAAUAUUGGACAAUGGGCGAAAGCCUGAUCCAGCAAUGCCGCGUGAGUGAUGAAGGCCUUAGGGUUGUAAAAGCUCUUUUACCUAGGGAUGAUAAUGACAGUACCUGGAGAAU
rnacentral:rRNA from 1 species